UUCCUCUAUUCCUUCUAUUCCUUCUAUUCCUCUAUUCCUCUCUUCCUCUAUUCCUCCUUUCAUUCUAUUCCUCUAUUCCUAUAUUCCUUCUAUUCCUCUAUUCCUUCUAUUUCUCUAUUCCUCUAUUCCUUCUAUUCCUCUAUUCCUUCUAUUCCUCCAUUCCUUCUAUUCCUCUAUUCCUCUAUUCCUCUAUUCCUUCUAUUCCUCUAUUCCUCUCUUCCUUCUAUUCCUCUAUUCCUCCUUUCCUUCUAUUCCUCCCUUCCUUCUAUUCCUCUAUUCCUUCUAUUUCUCUAUUCCUCUAUUCCUUCUAUUCCUCUAUUCCUUCUAUUCCUCCAUUCCUUCUAUUCCUCUAUUCCUCUAUUCCUCUAUUCCUUCUAUUCCUCUAUUCCUCUCUUCCUUCUAUUCCUCUAUUCCUCCUUUCCUUCUAUUCCUCCCUUCCUUCUAUUCCUCUAUUCCUUCUAUUCCUCUAUUCCUCCCUUCCUUCUAUUCCUCCCUGCUAUUCCUCCCUUCCUUCUAUUCCUCUAUUCCUCCCUUCCUUCUAUUCCUCCCUGCUAUUCCUCUCUUCCUUCUGUCCCUGUAUGUAUGAAUGUAUGAGUGGAGGAAAGGUCUUCAUCCUAAUGCUUUCACCAGUCCAUCUCUGUCCCACCUGAGAUGACAGUUACAAGUGAAAAGACACAAUGACAUCCUCCCUGUGUGAGAGGAAUGAAGCUUUUUAAAUUAGAAUCACAUUUAAAUCUGAACGAGAACACUGACAAUCACAUUCCAAUGCUUCUGUAUAGCCCAACAUUCACAAGAUUUCUUAGAACACUUACAAUCCCAUUCUGGAAUAUUCCGACACUGACAAUCAGAUUCCUGAGGCCUUCUAGAACACAGAAAAAAAGAAUUCAAAAGCAACCUGGUUUUCAUCAGAACUACUUCUUUCUACUCCGCAUUCUAAUGAUAUACAGAGGACAGUAAAGUGUGUAUCUGCUCUAUUAAAUAUUCACUCAGGCAGCCCUUUCAGACUGCAUAACAGGACUGCGUCCCAAUUGGCACCCUAUUCCCUACAUAGCGCACUACUUUUGACCAGGGCCAUAGGGCGUAAGGAAUAGGAUGCUAUGUGGGAUGAAGCCUUAGUGUGUAGGAAGUAGUGCAUAGAGAAUUACACUGUAUACACAAGCUGAGAGAUGGAGGAUAAUGCAUACAUACAUUACGUGCUACAAAGUGUGUGUGUGUGUGUGUGUGUGUGUGUGUGUGUGUGUGUGUGUGUGUGAGAAGGAUGCAGAGAAUAUUGGAUGAAUGUAUAGGUAAUGUAUAGGUAAUGUAUAGGCAUUGUAUAGGUAAUGUGUAGGUAAUGUUAGUUCAUGCAUAUGGCAUGUGUAGGUAAUGUGUAGGUAAUGUGUAGGUGAUGUGCAGGUAAUGUAUGGGUAAUGUGUAGGUGAUGUGCAGGUAAUGUAUGGGUAAUGUGUAGGUAAUGUAUGGGUAAUGUGUAGGUGAUGUGCAGGUAAUGUAUGGGUAAUGUGUAGGUGAUGUGCGGGUAAUGUGUAGGUAAUGUAUAGGUGAUGUGCAGGUAAUGUAUGGGUAAUGUGUAGGUGAUGUGCAGGUAAUGUGUAGGUAAUGUAUA
ensembl:lncRNA